GAGUUUGAUCCUGGCUCAGGACGAACGCUGGCGGCGUGCCUAACACAUGCAAGUCGAGCGGAGUCACUUUCUUCGGAAGGUGGUUUAGCGGCGGACGGGUGAGUAACACGUGGGUAACCUACCUCAAACAGGGGGAUAGCCUUCCGAAAGGAAGACUAAUACCGCAUAAAAUAUGAGAGUCGCAUGGCUCUAAUAUUAAAGGAGUCGCCUUUGAAAGAAGGCGCAUCCGGUUUAAGAUGGACCCGCGGCGCAUUAGCUAGUUGGAGAGGUAACGGCUCACCAAGGCAACGAUGCGUAGCCGACCUGAGAGGGUGAUCGGCCACAUUGGAACUGAGACAC
rnacentral:rRNA from 1 species